rnacentral:misc_RNA from 1 species
GAAACUUUCACUUAGUUAAAAUCUAGGGUUUUGUUGUUUAAUCGCUAAAAUUUCCAAUCUCAAACUCCCUCUCAGAGUCGGCCAUGGCGAAGAACAGAAACAAAAAGAAGAAGAACGGCGCCGUUUCAAUGGACAUCACGGAGCCCACCGUCUCAGAUGUUCCUCAAGCAAUGGAUACUUCAGAGUCUGUAGUUCAAAAAUCAGCUUCUGGGUUUCCUAAUAGAAAGGUGAAGGGAAGACCAAUGAAGAGAUCAAAAAAUGUUCGAAAGAUGAAAGCAGUGGCAAAAGCUAUAUCAAAAAAUGAGCAGUCUGUUGAGAAAGUUUUGAAGAAUGAGAGCAAAACAGCAAGAACUCAAUCAGCAAAACUGCUGUACGACUGAAUAUGAGAAACUGGUAUUCACAACCAUAGUUUUUUUUUUUAGAUAUAUUUUUUUGGGUAUCACUAUGUUAAUGUUAGUAUAUUCCUCUGCUACGUUGAAUGUAAUUCAAUUAUUUUUCCGCUCACUUCAUUAGCAUAUAGAAUCACUUAAAUCUAUAAUGUGCAAGUUCAAAAUUGUUGGCAUAUUAAUAUGGUUGGUUGGUAUUUCGAUGAACACGACC